rnacentral:lncRNA from 1 species
GACCUCCAAUUUAAAAUUUCAUAACAAUUAGACACCCCUAAGAUGUAGAACUCAACUUUUGCACUAUUUACAAUUUAGUCCUUUUGACUAAAUUGAGUGCCCAAACGUCGAAAUUUUCGAACUAAAUUUUUACGAAAAUUUUCCGUGAAAUUGUAGACCAUAAAAAUAUAAUAAUAACCAUAUUUUCCCUCAUCGGAUUUGUGGUCCCGAAACCACUAUUCCGACUAGGCCCAGAAUCGGGCUGUUACAUCCAUGGUCUACCACGCCUCAAAACAGAAUAUUUUCCUACCCAAUCUCACACGCCCUUGAUCCAAAUUAAUCAUGAGCAAACAAUAAUCCAAAAACGAGUGUGGUAAAUGCUUUAUCAUAGCACUUGAAAACAUAUUCAUCCAUUCAACAUCCACCAUACCCUUGUUAAGUCUUUCUCUAAUGUUUGUUUCCGGUAAACUCCCCCUCUCCCAAGUAAACCAUGUCCCCGAGAACCCAAUAUCCAUUAAACGACACCGAUCUAACACUUCUUGGAAUUUCUCCAUACGUAUUUCCCCCAUUGACGCCCUUUCCACUUUUUCAAAGGAAUACAUGAUCUCAUUAAAAUCCCCACACGCAAGCCAUGAAAAAUCUUGACAAUGACCUAAACACCUUAACAAAUCCCAAGAUUCAUCUCUACCACGUGCAAAAGGAGCCCCAUAAAACCCAGUAAAUCUCUAUUUUCUACUUUCCCCAUCCUCUUCAACCUCAACAUCAACAUGGUUCUUUGAGAAAUUCCUUAAACUUACCCCUAAAUAUGCCUUCCAUACCAAACGUAGACCUCUUGCGUGUCAUCUGUCGACAUAUCAAUACCAUUCAAAAAACCACACCUUCUUUGCACCCUCUCUAUAUGCAAAGUACGUAGUUCUGUCUCCAUAAAGAAGACCACUUGAAGAUUAUAUACAUUCAACAUAUACCGAAGUCUUCUUAUAGCAUGUAGAUUCCCUAAACCACGAAUAUCCCAACAUAUUAUUUUUAUUGCGACCAGUCGACUUUCCCCUUUGCAACCGCCGAUAAAAUUUGAGCUUGAACCGCAUGAAUCUCCUCUUUCAUCCUAAAUGGGUCUGUAACAGAAGAACUACUUUGAUCUCCCUUCGAGGUCUUUUCUUCCCAUCGCCACUUUCAAUCAGACUCUUCUCAAAAUCAUGCUCCAUAUCCGAAUGACUUAAUAUUUUAGAAUAAAUCCCAUCCAAUUUAGACCAAUGCCUCAAAACUCCUUUCAGAUUAAACCUAGGACAGAAUCCAACCUCAUCCUAGAACCCACCCCACUGUCUCCUUCCUCCCUCAGCCACACACCAUUCAUUAAAACAACUUUUCUAGAUUGUGUCAUGGGGCUGGAACUUUAGUCUCGUAUUCCGUAUCUUAGGCAAUCCUUUCGAUGCAAACAUACCUAAGUAAGCCUAACCACCACAAAGUGAGGAUUCAUAAAGAAUUCCUCCAAUGCACCAAUUUAUAUAGCAAAAGCAACUCUAGCAAAAAAAAAAGCACAAAAGAAUAGAAAGCCACAAAAAACAAUACACCAGAGAUGUUUGAGUAGAUGCUCUUAAAAAAUUCUAUUACUUUUAAGAAUUCAAGAUACAAUGGAUGAUUUUCAAGUGAGGGAAGGCUCUCUAUUUAUAGUUGAGCUCCCCCAAGACCGACAAUCUUGAUCAAGUUACAUCGACGGACGAGAUUAGCCUAUCUCUUAAAUCUAAGGAUUUACAAAAUUAUAUAAUCAAUUUACAUAAUCAAAUCCAAUCUAAUCUUAUAAGAUAUGAUUCCUCUCAAUCUUCUAAGAUUAAUUUCCCUAUUUACUAAGGUAGCCUAUGUUGUCAUAUUUUCAUCAUUGGGCCACCUAGGUUUUAAUCUGACAGGCUUCUCUAACAGUUCUUUGAAUCAGACCAGUUCUCGUGGGCUAAAUGAUCCCCAUCUAAUCGAUAGACCUUCAUGGGACGCAUCUUGUGCGAUACUUAGGGGCCUUACACUUUGGCCUGUGACAACUACACCUUCAAAGAUAAAUCCCACCCCAAAACUGAAUCUUUCUUUCCUCUAUUAAAUCUAACCAGGUAGAAAGAAUCAUUAUGUCCUAAGCAGCCACAGAAAAAACAGAAAAGUGUCAAUCUUUCAUACUGAAAACUCACAUAGGUACACUUUCCAGGGGAGACCAAAAUCAUUUUCUUUCGUUUUAACGGCUUCCUAACAUCCAAUUGCACCCAAAUCAACAUGAAAUUUCUUAAUCCUUUCCCGAAUUGCUUAGAAUCAUAUUCUUGAAACUUCCCAAUAAAAUCCUCUAAUUUCUUUGCUACACACUAAGAGAAAAACCUCAAGGGUAAAUCAUGCACUUGCACCCAAAAAGAUGACAGUACCAAGGGCACUUGCAUUGGAUCAUCUCCCUCUGCCAAUCGAUGCAUCACCAAAAGGUGAUUAUUAAAAGUUCACGAAGCCCCAUUCAUCACUCGAUCAAUGUCCAUGUUAUGAAAAAACUUAAACAAAUACCUAUUUUCUCCCAGAUCUAAGAGCUAAACUCCCCCUAACAAAUGCCAAAGAUUUUCCAUCGUACUCCUCAUUGUCAAGAAAUGAACAACACUCACCGUGAGGAAACACCCAACCAAACAAAAAUCAUACGUUAUUUUUUUAGGCUCUGAUUCAUUGGGUAACAACAAAACCUCAUCCUUUCCAUCAUCUAAUAUUAACCCUGCUAGAUCUGUUUCCAUAGCAAAUCCCCACCUACCCCAAAACCAAAAAACAAACAGUCAAAAGACAAUCAAACCCACCCACUACACUACCACUACCGACCAAGAACACAGAAAUGCAAAAACCACACACGUGCUAAAGCAAUAGACUAGAGACGUGCAAGAACUGCAGACCUACCUUCAGAGUAUAUUUUAAUUUAUUUUUGUGUAAUUUAAAAUUAAUUCAAAAAAUAUAAUUUAUUAAAUUCUAUUUAAUUUGACUGGCCAAA